rnacentral:rRNA from 1 species
AUUGAACGCUGGCGGCCGGCUUAACACAUGCAAGUCGAGCGAGCGGCGGACGGGUGAGUAAUGUCUGGGAAACUGCCUGAUGGAGGGGGAUAACUACUGGAAACGGUAGCUAAUACCGCAUACCAUCAGAUGUGCCCAGAUGGGAUUAGCUAGUAGGUGGGGUACUGGCUCACCUAGGCGACGAUCCCUAGCUGGUCGUAGAGGAUGACCAGCCACACUGGAACUGAGACACGGUCCAGACUCCUACGGGAGGCAGCAGUGGGGAAUAUUGCACAAUGGGCGCAAGCCUGAUGCAGCCAUGCCGCGUGUAUGAAGAAGGCCUUAGGGUUGUAAAGUACUUUCAGCGGGGAGGCGUUACCCGCAGAAGAAGCACCGGCUAACUCCGUGCCAGCAGCCGCGGUAAUUC